GCGACCGCCUCCCCCUCCCGAUCGCGUCACACUCAAGGUCCAAAGAUGGUGUGCGCACUUGUCUGUGGUCAUUUCCCAUUAUAAUGAAUGGGAGGCGCAGUUUCUACCAAAACACUCGCUGCAGACAUACUACAUGUCCUAUUUGAAAAAAGUCUGGACCAUGAGUGAGGGCACAAACACAGCUAGGAUAUAUCCAAACGGCAAGUUGCUCCUUGUUACGGUGUUGCCGGGAGAGUGAUGCGAUUGAGCCAUUGAGUGAUGGGCAGGAAAAACUUGACUGUUUCUCCUGCCAUGGGGGUUGGGGGAUGGGGGGGGGAUGUGGAUUCUUUUAAGAAUGUGGAUAUUUGGGUCAUCUUUGGCGCCCCCUAGAACGUAAACCGUGGGGUGCAGCGUCAUGAUUUUUACAACUUUGAAUGGCCAUGGGGUGUAGAUUGGCCUGAGCAAAUUUGGUGUCAGUGAGACGAAAGCCUUAGGAGGAGUUAGCCACAUUCCAAUGUGUGCGAAUCGGCAAAAAAUGCAAAAUAGCCCUUUAACCGUACAUUUUACAGAUACGCGCGCAUUGACUUUUUCGUAGAUCUUAUUGAGAUACAUGUGAUUGUCAAAUUUUGUGUCAAUAUGACAAAGCGUACAGGUAUGACAGUCAACAAUGUGUUUUUUCACCUUAUGGGACAAGAAAAAAUGGACUUUUUUCUCCUGCCAUGGGGGGGCGCUCUUUUGGGGAGUAAAAAUUCCUUCACAAAUGUGUUGAUGGCUGGACAUUGCAUCAUCCUAGAAAACUUGGAGGCCAGUGAGGACAAAAAUAAAAAGUUAUAAGACUUUGAAAUAUGUGGAUUUUAGGGUUAUCUUUGGCGCCCCCUAGAACCUAAACCGUGGGGUGCAGCGUCAUGAUUUGAAUAACUUUUAAUGGCCAUGGGGUGUAGAUUGGCCUGAGCAAAUGUGGUGCCGGUGGAACGCCAGCCUUAGGAGGAGUUAGCGAAAUUCCAAUGUGUGCGGAUCAGCAAAAAAUGCGGAAUAACCCUUUAACCGUACAUUUGACAGAUACGCGCGCAUUGACUUUUUCGUAGAUCUUAUUGAGAUACAUGUGUGUGUCAAAUUUUGUGUCAAUAUGACAAAGCGUACAGGCGUGACACUCAACAAUGUGUAUUUUCACCUUAGGGGACAAGAAAAAAUGGACUUUUUUCUCCUGCCAUGGGGGGGCGCUCUUUUGGGGAUUAAAAAUUCCUUCACAAAUGUGUUGAUGGCUGGACAUUGCAUCAUCCUAGAAAACCUGGAGGCCAGUGAGGUCAAAAAUAAAAAGUUAUAAGACUUUGAAAUAUGUGGAUUUUAGGGUUAUCUUUGGCGCCCCCUAGAACCUAAACCGUGGGGUGCAGCGUCAUGAUUUGAAUAACUUUUAAUGGCCAUGGGGUGUAGAUUGGCCUGAGCAAAUGUGGUGCCGGUGGAACGAAAGCCUUCGGAGGAGUUAGCGAAAUUCCAAUGUGUGCGGGUCGGCAAAAAAUGCGCAAUAACCCUUUAACCGUACAUUUGACAGAUACGCCUGCACUGACUUUUUUGUAGAUCUUAUUGAGAUACAUGUGUGUGUCAAUUUUUGUGUUAAUAUGACAAAGCGUAAAGGCGUGACAGUCAAUAGUGUGAAUUUUCACCUUAGGGGGCGCUAUGGAGCCAUUUUGCAUUUUCUUGUUUGGGCGACUUCGGAAUAUCAAAUUUUUCACCAGGCCCGGUCAUCCUGCCAAAUUUCAUGAGUUUUCGCCAGUGGGAAGUGGGCCAUUUUCCAGUUCAAAGGGGAGGAAAAAGAAGAAAGAAAGAAACAAAGAAAAACCCCUUGGGGAAUAAUAGGGCUCUCGCAGCUGCUUAGCAGCUACGCUCGGGCCCUAACUAGGACCCCGUUGGGGCACUGGCGGGCCCGAGCCGUGUCGCGUCCCCCCCCCCAACGUGCUGCCUCCCCGUCCCAUUUGUGUCCUCUGGCCAUCGCCCUCUCUGGUAACGCCCAUCACUGCAAAGACCCUUUUUCUUCAUCGGCGUUUGCUGUUCUUCCUGCCAGUGCGUGUUGCUUUCACUUACACUUGCCACAGCCAGCCUCGUGAGUGCCUAGCCUAUUGGAUAUCACUGUCACCUACACAGGACAGUCAUUACCUUUCUAUUAAUACUUUGUGUUUUAAUUUCACAUUAAUUUCCAUAUUGUAUAAACGACUGGAAAAAACUUGAGCCCCUGCCCCUGUAUAAUCAUGUGCAUGUCUCUGUUCUAGCUCCAAGGUGAAUCUUCACUGCUAAUGUUCUCCUCAGAAGCAGUCACCUCACUCCCCUCAGGUUACUGUACACAUGCACCAACUGCCUGCUUCAGGUUUGGAUGGAGCUUCAUGGUUGUCUUUUGGAGAAAUGACCAGUCAAGUUGUGUUUGAAAUUUGAUUUUUUUCAGGGGCAAAAGGAGCCUCUGCAUUCUUGUCAAAUAUGUAAAUAGCAUGUUUUUGCAGGUGCUAAAAACCAGACUCUGAGUGUGUGUGUGUGUGUGUGUGUGUGUGUGUGUGUGUGUGUGCGUGUGUGUGUGUCUGUGUGUGCGUUCAAGUCACAUGACAUAUUUAACCGGAUGUAGCUGCAAGACGGAGCCUCGUUGACUCUCCGUUUCAACUUAUCUCAAAAGUGAGGACCUCAACCUAUAUACCAGUUUUUAAAUUGUGUUGAUAGGCCAAAUAAAACCAGAGUUAUGAUAAAUUAUGUCCGCGAUACUUUUUUUCUGCUUAUUUUGAUCACGUUCGGCGCUCGAUCGCGCUGUAUGAGACAGGAAAACAGAGCAUGCAGACAUUAGCGACAGGUCUUACAGGCGGAAAAGGCUUGCCAAAAGAAAAAAAACACACCACAACAUCUCUCCUAUUGGUGGAAAAGUUCACCACAACAACCAAUCCAAAAUUAUAUGGUGACUGAUUGACAAGGGGCGGGCGCUUACGUUCUUCCUGCAACAUGAGAAGCGAGGGAGGGACUCUCAGCAGGGAUGCAGUCUGGGACACGUAGUUGCAAACCUAGCGACUUUGUUGUUAGAUUCAAUGACUUUUCAGACCCCCUAACGACUUUUUUUUUAGAAAGAAAGGGACUUUUAUCGACUUCUUCUGGAGUUUAGAGACUCUGACAUGAAGCAGGCUUUCCUUACUGAGGAGUUAGCAACGCUGCUAAGGGUGCAGAGCCACACAUGCGCUCAGAGCUCUGCAUGGGAGACUGAAGCUGACAGAGCUGCAGCAGUUAGCAGGUUUCACCCUCAGAGACCACCAGGGGUUCAUGUUGAGGCAUUUAAAUUUUUUUUUUUUUGUGCCAUAGACACUGUCAGCACAAUCUGCAGUUACACUAACAAAAAUGCUGCAAAAAACAAAGAAUUAUGGAAAAAUUACACAUGGACUGACAUAGAGGAGGAUCUACACAAGUUUUUUACAUCAUGUUUUACAUCAUGCAUCAUUUACAUCAUGUUUUUUUGUAGUGGCAUAAAUAAAAAGUGACAUUUGUGAGACUAUACAGUGUUUUGUAAAUAAUUUUACAAAGAACGCCUGGGCCAUUGCCUGCAUUUUGAUGUAAAUAGAGGUAAAUUACUAUGUUCUUUGUUAAAAAUUUGCAUAUGUUUUGAAGUUUACAAUUUUUAUUUGAAGUUUAAGUUUUAAAAACAGUUCAUCACACAUAUUUGUGGUUUAAUUUCACAUUAAUUUCCAUAUUGUAUAAAUGACUGGAAAAAACUUGAGCCCCUGCCCCUGUAUAAUCAUGUGCACGUCCCUGUUCUAGCUCCAAGGUGAAUCUUCACUGCUCAUGUUCUCCUCAGAAAUAGUCACCUCACUCCCCUCAGGUUACUGUACACAUGCACCAACUAUCUGCUUCAGGUUUGGAUGGAGCUUCAUGGUUGUCUUUUGGAGAAAUGAACAGUCAAGUUGUGUUCGAAAUCUGAUUUUUUUCAGGGGCAAAAGGAAGCCUCUGCAUUCUUGUCAAAUAUGUAAACAGCAUGUUUUUGCAGGUGCUAAAAAACAGACUCUGAGUGUGUGUGUGUGUGUGUGUGUGUGUGUGUGUGUGUGUGUAUAUAUGUGUGUGUAUCCUGCAGUACUCUGUACUCCUGCAGUGGCCAAAAAGACUUUUAAGAAUGUGGAUUUUUGGGUCAUCUUUGGCGCCCCCUAGAACUGCAGUACUCUGUACUCCUGCAGUGGCCAAAAUGACUUUUAAGAAUGUGGAUUUUUGGGUCAUCUUUGGCGUCCCCUAGAACGUAAACCAUGGGGUGCAGCGUCAUGAUUUUUACAACUUUGAAUGGGCAUGGGGUGUAGAUUGCCCUGAGCAAAUUUGGUAUCGGUGGGACGAAAGCCUUAGGAGGAGAUAGCCACAUUCCAAUGUGUGCGAAUCGGCAAAAAAUGCGAAAUAGCCCUUUAACCGUACAUUAUACAGAUACGCGCUUUUUGACUUUUUCGUAGAUCUAAUUGAGAUACACAUGAUUGUCAAUUUUUGUGUCAAUAUGACAAAGCGUUCAGGCGUGACACUCAACAAUGUGUAUUUUCAUGUAAGGGGACAAGAAAAAAUUGACUUUUUUCUCCUGCCAUGGGGGGGCGCUCUUUUGGGGAGUAAAAAUUCCUUCACAAAUGUGUUGAUGGCUGGACAUUGCAUCAUCCUAGAAAACUUGGAGGGCAGUGAGGACAAAAAUAAAAAGUUAUAAGACUUUUAAGAAUGUGGAUUUUGGGUUAUCUUUGGCGCCCCCUAGAACGUAAACCGUGGGGUGCAGCGUCAUGAUUUGUACAACUUUUAAUGGCCAUGGGGGGUAGAUUGGCCUGUGCAAAUGUGGUGCCGGUCGAACGAAAGCCUUCGGAGGAGUUAGCGAAAUUCCAAUGUGUGCAGAUCUGCAAAAAAUGCAAAAUAACCCAUUAACCGUAAAUUUGACAGAUACGCCCGCACUGACUUUUUUGUAGAUCUUAUUGAGAUACAUAUGUGUGUCAAUUUUUGUGUCAAUAUGACAAAGCGUACAGCCGUCAUGUGAAUUUUCACCUUAGGGAGCGCUAUGGAGCCAUUUUGCAUUUUAUUGUUUGGGCGACUUCAGAAUAUCGAAUUUUUCACCAGGCCCGGUCGUCCUGCCAAAUUUCCUGAGUUUUCGCCAGUGGGAAGUGGGCCAUUUUCCAGUUUAAAGCGGAGGAAAAAUAAUAACGAAAGAAGGAAACAUGCAGGAACAAGAGGGCUCUCGCAGCUGCUUAGCAGCUACGCUCGGGCCCUAAAGAAAGAAAGAAAGAAAGAAAGAAACAAAGAAAAACCACUUGGGGAAUAAUAGGGCUCUCGCAGCUGCUUAGCAGCUACGCUCGGGCCCUAAAGAAGAAGAAAGAAGAAUCCAUCAGGAAUAAUAGGGCUCUCGCAGCUGCUUAGCAGCUACGCUCGGGCCCUAAAGACUAGGACCCCGUUGGGGCACUGGCGGGCCCGAGCCGUGUCGCGUCCCCCCCCCCCCCCCCUCCCCCAACGUGCUGCCUUCCCGUCCCAUUUGUGUCCUCUGGCCAUCGCCCUCUCUGGUAACGCCCAUCACUGCAAAGACCCUUUUCCUUCAUCGGCGUUUGCUGUUCUUCCUGCCAGUGCGUGUUGCUUUCACUUACACUUGCCACAGCCAGCCUCGUGAGUGCCUAGCCUAUUGGAUAUCACUGUCACCUACACAGGACAGUCAUUACCUUUCUAUUAAUACUUUGUGUUUUAAUUUCACAUUAAUUUCCAUAUUGUAUAAAUGACUGGAAAAAACUUGAGCCCCUGCCCCUGUAUAAUCAUGUGCACGUCCCUGUUCUAGCUCCAAGGUGAAUCUUCACUGCUCAUGUUCUCCUCAGAAAUAGUCACCUCACUCCCCUCAGGUUACUGUACACAUGCACCAACUAUCUGCUUCAGGUUUGAAAUGGAGCUUCAUGGUUGUCUUUUGGAGAAAUGAACAGUCAAGUUGUGUUUGAAAUUUGAUUUUUUUCAGGGGCAAAAGGAAGCCUCUGCAUUCUCUUCAAAUAUGUAAACAGCAUGUUUUUGCAGGUGCUAAAAAACAGACUCUGAGUGUGUGUGUGUGUGUCUGUGUGUGUGUGUGUGUGUGUGUGUGUAUAUGUGUGUGUAUCCUGCAGUACUCUGUACUCCUGCAGUGGCCAAAAAGACUUUUAAGAAUGUGGAUUUUUGGGUCAUCUUUGGCGCCCCCUAGAACUGCAGUACUCUGUACUCCUGCAGUGGCCAAAAUGACUUUUAAGAAUGUGGAUUUUUGGGUCAUCUUUGGCGCCCCCUAGAACGUAAACCGUGGGGUGCAGCGUCAUGAUUUUUACAACUUUGAAUGGGCAUGGGGUGUAGAUUGCCCUGAGCAAAUUUGGUAUCGGUGGGACGAAAGCCUUAGAAGGAGAUAGCCACAUUCCAAUGUGUGCGAAUCGGCAAAAAAUGCAAAAUAGCCCUUUAACCGUACAUUAUAAAGAUACGCGCUCUUUGACUUUUUCGUAGAUCUAAUUGAGAUACACAUGAUUGUCAAUUUUUGUGUCAAUAUGACAAAGCGUUCAGGCGUGACACUCAACAAUGUGUAUUUUCAUGUCAGGGGACAAGAAAAAAUUGACUUUUUUCUCCUACCAUGGGGGGGCGCUCUUUUGGGGAGUAAAAAUUCCUUCACAAAUGUGUUGAUGGCUGGACAUUGCAUCAUCCUAGAAAACUUGGAGGCCAGUGAGGACAAAAAUAAAAAGUUAUAAAACAUUUAAGAAUGUGCAUUUUUGGGUUAUUUUUGGCGCCCCCUAGAACCUAAACCAUGGGGUGCAGCGUCAUGAUUUUUACAACUUUGAAUGGGCAUGGGGUGUAGAUUGCCCUGAGCAAAUUUGGUAUCGGUGGGACGAAAGCCUUAGAAGGAGAUAGCCACAUUCCAAUGUGUGCGAAUCGGCAAAAAAUGCAAAAUAGCCCUUUAACCGUACAUUAUACAGAUACGCGCUCUUUGACUUUUUCGUAGAUCUAAUUGAGAUACACAUGAUUGUCAAUUUUUGUGUCAAUAUGACAAAGCGUUCAGGCGUGACACUCAACAAUGUGUAUUUUCAUGUAAGGGGACAAGAAAAAAUUGACUUUUUUCUCCUACCAUGGGGGGGCACUCUUUUGGGGAGUAAAAAUUCCUUCACAAAUGUGUUGAUGGCUGGACAUUGCAUCAUCCUAGAAAACUUGGAGGCCAGUGAGGACAAAAAUAAAAAGUUAUAAAACAUUUAAGAAUGUGGAUUUUUGGGUUAUUUUUGGCGCCCCCUAGAACCUAAACCAUGGGGUGCAGCAUCAUGAUUUGAAUAACUUUUAAUGGCCAUGGGGUGUAGAUUGGCCUGAGCAAAUGUGGUGCCGGUGGAACGAAAGCCUUCGGAGGAGUUAGCGAAAUUCCAAUGUGUGCGUAUCGGCAAAAAAUGCGGAAUAACCCUUUAACUGUACAUUUGACAGAUACGCGCGCAUGGACUUUUUUGUAGAUCUUAUUGAGUUACACGUGUGUGUCAAUUUUUGUGUCAUUUUGACAAAGCGUAUAGGCGUGACACUCAACAAUGUGUAUUUUCACCUUAGGGGACAAGAAAAAAUGGACUUUUUUCUCCUGCCAUGGGGGGGCGCUCUUUUGGGGAGUAAAAAUUCCUUCACAAAUGUGUUGAUGGCUGGACAUUGCAUCAUCCUAGAAAACUUGGAGGCCAGUGAGGACAAAAAUAACUAGGACCCCGUUGGGGCACUGGCGGGCCCGAGCCGUGUCGCGUCUCCCCCCCCCCCCCAAACGUGCUGCCUCCCCGUCCCAUUUGUGUCCUCUGGCCAUCGCCCUCUCUGGUAACGCCCAUCACUGCAAAGACCCUUUUCCUUCAUCGGCGUUUGCUGUUCUUCCUGCCAGUGCGUGUUGCUUUCACUUACACUUGCCACAGCCAGCCUCGUGAGUGCCUAGCCUAUUGGAUAUCACUGUCACCUACACAGGACAGUCAUUACCUUUCUAUUAAUACUUUGUGUUUUAAUUUCACAUUAAUUUCCAUAUUGUAUAAACGACUGGAAAAAACUUGAGCCCCUGCCCCUGUAUAAUCAUGUGCAUGUCUCUGUUCUAGCUCCAAGGUGAAUCUUCACUGCUCAUGUUCUCCUCAGAAGCACUCACCUCACUCCCCUCAGGUUACUGUACACAUGCACCAACUGCCUGCUUCAGGUUUGGAUGGAGCUUCAUGGUUGUCUUUUGGAGAAAUUACCAGUCAAGUUGUGUUUGAAAUUUGAUUUUUUUCAGGGGCAAAAGGAGCCUCUGCAUUCUUGUCAAAUAUGUAAAUAGCAUGUUUUUGCAGGUGCUAAAAAAAGACUCUGAGUGUGUGUGUGUGUGUAUCCUGCAGUACUCUGAGAAGAAUAAUAAGCAUAUUUCUGAGGUGAAUUUUGAAGAUUCAUCUGAGAGUUAGGAGGGCUGAUCAUUCCCUUACCCUUUAGAUGUCUAUCUAUGUCUGUUUUUGUGUGAUAAUGAAAGAAUCCCAACUCAAAAAGGCUCUGUUGAUGUUUUUUUUUUGUUGUUGUUCAUUCAUAUUCAAACCACUAUUUUAUAUCACUGCUAAUACGCCAAGACCAUUUUAUGGAAUUUAGCUUUAUUAUUUCUAUACAUUUUGCAAGGAAAGAAACCAAGGCCUUCACUAAAAUUUCCAUAAACUUUAGGAAAGGACCUCUGGUUGUUUAACGGGGUCAUUACUGCAAAAACAUAUUCUUCCUAAAUUUUGAAGGUCAAACCUUAGAUCCAUUAGGUUUAAAUAGAAAAAGCAUUAAAAUAUGUUAGGAUUAUAGCAUAUGACAAAUAUGUGCCUUUCAGUGGCCACAACUACUUUAUCUGCUGGCUCUGCAGUCGAUUGACGCUCCCCAGCAUUCAAGUCACAUUACAUAUUUAACCGGAUGUAGCUGCAAGACGAAGCCUCGUUGACUCUCCGUUUCAACUUAUCUCAAAAGUGAGGACCUCAACCUAUAUACCAGUUUUUAAAUUGUGUUGAUAGGCCAAAUAAAACCAGAGUUAUGAUAAAUUAUGUCCGCGAUACUUUUUUUCUGCUUAUUUUGAUCACGUUCGGCGCUCGAUCGCGCUGUAUGAGACAGGAAAACAUAGCAUGCAGACAUUAGCGACAGGUCUUACAGGCGGAAAAGGCUUGCCAAAGGAAAAAAAAAACACACCACAACAUCUCUCCUAUUGGUGGAAAACUUCACCACAACAACCAAUCCAAAAUUAUAUGGUGACUGAUUGACAAGGGGCGGGCGCUUACGUUCUUCCUGCAAUAUGAGAAGGGAGGGAGGGACUCUCAGCAGGGAUGCAGUCUGGGACACGUAGUUGCAAACCUAGCGACUUUGUUGUUAGAUUCAAUGACUUUUCAGACCCCCUAACGACGUUUUUUUAGAAAGAAAGUGACUUUUAUCGACUUCUUCUGGAGUUUAGAGACUCUGACAUGAAGCAGGCUUUCCUUACUGAGGAGUUAGCAACGCUGCUAAGGGUGCAGAGCCACACAUGCGCUCCGAGCUCUGCAUGGGAGACUGAAGCUGACAGAGCUGCAGCAGUUAGCAGGUUUCACCCUCAGAGACCACCAGGGGUUCAUGUUGAGGCAUUUUCAGUUUUUUUUUUUUUUUGCCAUAGACACUGUCAGCACAAUCUGCAGUUACACUAACAAAAAUGCUGCAAAAAACAAAGAAUUAUGGAAAAAUUACACAUGGACUGACAUAGAGGAGGAUCUACACAAGUUUUUUACAUCAUGUUUUACAUCAUGCAUCAUUUACAUCAUGUUUUUUUGUAGUGGCAUAAAUAAAAAAGUGACAUUUGUGAGACUAUACAGUGUUUUGUAAAUAAUUUUACAAAGAACACCUGGGCCAUUGCCUGCAUUUUGAUGUAAAUAGAGGUAAAUUACUAUGUUCUUUGUUAAAAAUUUGCAUAUGUUUUGAAGUUUACAAUUUUUAUUUGAAGUUUAAGUUUUAAAAACAGUUCAUCACACAUAUUUGUGGUUUUCACAGUAAAAACGUUACUUUUUUCCACUCGGAUUUUAUGUUUUGUGUGUGAAUUUGGGUCCAAUGUGUAAAUAUAGUAUGUCAAAAUGAUAAAAUAACUGUAAAUUGACACAGGUGAGGUUGUGCUGAAAAAAAUGAUACCAGGCAAGGCAAGGUAAAAAUUUUGUAAGAGGAAAUAUAAAGGUAAAAUCUAAAGUAGUCAAAAACGGCCAAUAGUGACUCACAGACUCCACAGACAAGUCCCUUUGGCGCCACUCAGUGGGCAAAACUACUUUGUCUACUGUAAUGUAUAUUUGGGUCAUCUUUGGCGCCCCCUAAAACGUAAAACGUGGGGUGCCGCGUCAUGAUUUUUACAACUUUGAAUGGCCAUGGAGUGUAGAUUGGCCUGAGCAAAUUUGGUGUCAGUGGGACGAAAGCCUUAGGAGGAGUUAGCGAAAUUCCAAUAUGUGCGAAUCGGCAAAAAAUGCAAAAUAGCCCUUUUACCGUACAUUAUACAGAUACGCGCUCUUGACUUUUUCGUAGAUCUAAUUGAGAUACACAUGAUUGUCAAUUUUUGUGUCAUUUUGCCAAAGCGUACAGGCGUGACAGUCAACAAUGUGUAUUUUCACCUUAGGGGACAAGAAAAAAUGGACUUUUUUCUCCUGCCAUGGGGGGGCGCUCUUUUAGGGAGUAAAAAUUCCUUCACAAAUGUGUUGAUGGCUGGACAUUGCAUCAUCCUAGAAAACUUGGAGGCCAGUGAGGACAAAAAUAAAAAGUUAUAAGACUUUUAAAAAUUUGGAUUUUUGGGUUAUCUUUGGCGCCCCCUAGAACGUAAACCGUGGGGUGCAGCGUCAUGAUUUGAAUAACUUUUAAUGGCCAUGGGGUGUAAUUUGGCCUGAGCAAAUGUGGUGCCGGUGGAACGAAAGCCUUCGGAGGAGUUAGCGAAAUUCCAAUGUGUGCGAAUCGGCAAAAAAUGCGGAAUAACCCUUUAACCGUACAUUUGACAGAUACGCGCCCAUUGACUUUUUUGUAGAUCUUAUUGAGAUACAUGUGUGUGUCAAUUUUUGUGUCAUUUUGACAAAGCGUACAGGCGUGACACUCAACAAUGUGUAUUUUCACCUUAGGGGACAAGAAAAAAUGGACUUUUUUCUCCUGCCAUGGGGGGGCGCUCUUUUGGGGAGUAAAAAUUCCUUCACAAAUGUGUUGAUGGCUGGACAUUGCAUCAUCCUAGAAAACUUGGAGGCCAGUGAGGACAAAAAUAAAAAGUUAUAAGACUUUGAAAUAUGUGGAUUUUAGUGUUAUCUUUGGCGCCCCCUAGAACCUAAACCGUGGGGUGCAGCGUCAUGAUUUGAAUAACUUUUAAUGGCCAUGGGGUGUAGAUUGGCCUGAGCAAAUGUGGUGCCGGUGGAACGAAAGCCUUCGGAGGAGUUAGCGAAAUUCCAAUGUGUGCGGAUCGGCAAAAAAUGCGCAAUAACCCUUUAACCGUACAUUUGACAGAUACGCCCGCACUGACUUUUUUGUAGAUCUUAUUGAGAUACAUGUGUGUGUCAAUUUUUGUGUCAUUUUGACAAAGCGUACAGGCGUCAGGUGAAUUUUUCACCUUAGGGGGCGCUAUGGAGCCAUUUUGCAUUUUCUUGUUUGGGCGACUUCGGAAUAUCAAAUUUUUCACCAGGCCCGGUCGUCCUGCCAAAUUUCAUGAGUUUUCGCCAGUGGGAAGUGGGCCAUUUUCCAGUUCAAAGGGGAGGAAAAAUAAUAACUAGGACCCCGGUGGGGCACUGUCGGGCCCGAGCCGCGUCGCGCCGCCCCCAGCGCGACCGCCUCCCCCUCCCGAUCGCGUCACACUCAAGGUCCAAAGAUGGUGUGCGCACUUGUCUGUGGUCAUUUCCCAUUAUAAUGAAUGGGAGGCGCAGUUUCUACCAAAACACUCGCUGCAGACAAACUACAUGUCCUAUUUGAAAAAAGUCUGGACCAUGAGUGAGGGCACAAACACAGCUAGGAUAUACCAAACGGCAAGUUGCUCCUC